UACAGGGGGUGCAAACGUUGCUCGGAAUCAUUGGGCGUAAAGCGCACGUAGGCGGUUCGUUAUGUCGGAUGUGAAAGCCCUUGGCUUAACCGAGGAAGUGCAUCCGAAACUGGCGAGCUAGAGUACUAAAGAGGAUCGCGGAAUUCCCGGUGUAGAGGUGAAAUGCGCAGAUAUCGGGAAGAACACCCGUGGCGAAGGCGGCACUCUGGGACGGUACUGACGCUGAGACGCGAAAGCGUGGGGAGCGAACAGG
rnacentral:rRNA from 1 species